CGUUGGUUUGACUGAAGACAGGAAGAAGCAGAGCAAAAGCAAGAGAACCCACUCCGCUGUGUUCCUCAACUACGCCUUCUGUUGUCACUGCUCCGCCCUUGCUCACUGAAACAUUUGUGAAUGUCUGUGAAGAAUCGUGUUGGGAUUUUGAUGGGGAUUGCAAUAAAUCUGUAAGAUUGUGCUAGAUACAGCUGUCCAGCUGCCUGAUGUCUCCACAGAGAACAGCUACAGCUACACGUCGCCAUGGAGAGCUUGGGGUGCCUGAGGUCAUGUCCUAAGGCAGGAAAACCAGACAGGAAGUAAAGGUGAUGCAAUGAG